AGAGGGAAAUGUACGAUAAUAACAAAUAUUUCUUAGAAGAACUUGUCCGAACUAUCUCGAACCAGUUCAAUACCACCACAAAGCCGGAUCUAAGCACAGUCCCCGUCUCCAGCGCUAAUGGCGAUUAGGGUUUUGAAGACGAUCUCUCAUCUUCCUUCUUACGGUCUGGAACGGUACAAGUAACCGAGAUAUCCACUUUCAACCUUCCAUUAAUCGAUCAUCCACGAUCUAUUCAAUGCGAUUUUUUGUUAUGCAAGGCGAUGGAGUUCGGCUAUAAAAAGACUGGCCGCUCCUCCUCCACCGUUUAAGUUUGUUUGCUUCGUUCCGGGAGGCCAGGAAUGUACGCCAUGGUGUUCUAUGGCUAACGUUUCAGUCUUCCUCUAACGUUAUCAAUUUAACUCCCGCUUUUGUUCAUAGUCAGAUUAGUUUCACCGGUUAAUUUUACACAUCUUUGCCGUCAUGAAUCCUUUAUAAUCGUCACUUUGUUUUUUUUUUUAAGUUUCUGUUACAGAUUUUUCACCGAGACAUUUUCCAGAUUUUGAUGAUUGUUGUUUAUGUUUUUGAUGUUCGUAAAUUUUCACCAUCGGAGUAGUUUCACCGUUCAUGACUCAAGAGGAUGAUAAAGCUUAGGCUCUGGAGGAUGAGAUGGUUGUGAAAGAGCCCGAGUUAGAGAAGAAACAGAACGCGAAUCAGAGUAUGAAAAACAGAAACAAUGAGAGACAUUAGAUAUCAAUGAGAGGGAGAAACAGAAACAGCAAGAGUUGAAGCGUUUAAAGAGGGUCAACUGAGACAAAGAGGGAUCACAUAGAAGAAUAAGAAGAAGAGACCCGGGAGAGAGAAGCUGCUAGACUGAGAAUGAUACAAGAAAAGGCACUUCAUCUUGAUGGAUCUUAGAAAGGACCUGAUGCUACACAUGUAAGUUCUCUUUUGUCUAGAUUGGGAUAGUGUAUCAAGGUAAAAUAUCAAUGAAAGCUCCAUAAAAACAGCAGCCAGCAGGUAAAGGGAGAGACUCCAUAAAACGUUUCUCUCACCUGUUCUCAACUUUUUAUCAAUAUCAAUGAAAGCUAAUAUUUUCUCUGCUGUGUUCAUCUAAUAUUUUAUCAAUAUCCAUGGAUGAAACU